AUCAACUUUCGAUGGUAGGAUAGAGGCCUACCAUGGUGGUAACGGGUAACGGGGUGUUAGGGCACGACACCGGAGAGGGAGCCUGAGAAACGGCUACCACAUCCAAGGAUGGCAGCAGGCGCGCAAAUUACCCAAUCCCGACACGGGGAGGUAGUGACAAUAAAUAACAAUACGGGGUUCUUUCGGAUCUCGUAAUUGGAAUGAGUACAAUUUAAAUCUCUUAACGAGGAACAAUUGGAGGGCAAGUCUGGUGCCAGCAGCCGCGGUAAUUCCAGCUCCAAUAGCGUAUAUUAAAGUUGUUGCAGUUAAAAAGCUCGUAGUUGAAUUUCGGGGUUAGUAAGUUGGUCAUGCCUCCGGUAUGCACUGGCUUUACUGAUUCCUCCUUCUUGAUGAACUGUAAUGUCAUUAAUUUGGUGUUGCAGGGAAUCAGGACUGUUACUUUGAAAAAAUUAGAGUGUUUAAAGCAGGCAUAAGCUUGAAUACAUUAGCAUGGAAUAAUGAAAUAGGACGUUUGAUCCUAUUUUGUUGGUUUCUAGGAUUGACGUAAUGAUUAAUAGGGAUAGUUGGGGGCAUUAGUAUUCAAUUGUCAGAGGUGAAAUUCUUGGAUUUAUUGAAGACUAACUACUGCGAAAGCAUUUGCCAAGGAUGUUUUCAUUAAUCAAGAACGAAAGUUAGGGGAUCGAAGACGAUCAGAUACCGUCGUAGUCUUAACCAUAAACUAUGCCGACUAGGGAUCGGAUGAUGUUAUUUUUAAUGACUCAUUCGGCGCCUUACGGGAAACCAAAGUGUUUGGGUUC
rnacentral:rRNA from 1 species